UAAGGAAUAUUGGUCAAUGGAGGCAACUCUGAACCAGCCAUGCCGCGUGAAGGAUUAAGGCCCUCUGGGUUGUAAACUUCUUUUAUAUGGGAAGAAAUGUACUUUUUCUAAAGUGCUUGACGGUACCAUAGGAAUAAGCACCGGCUAACUCCGUGCCAGCAGCCGCGGUAAUACGGAGGAUCCGAGCGUUAUCCGGAUUUAUUGGGUUUAAAGGGUGCGCAGGCGGGAUGUUAAGUCGGCGGUGAAAUUUUGCAGCUCAACUGUAAAAGUGCCUUCGAUACUGGCUUCCUUGAGUGUAGAUGAAGUAGGCGGAAUUUGUGGUGUAGCGGUGAAAUGCUUAGAUAUCACGAGGAACUCCGAUUGCGCAGGCAGCUUACUAAACUACAACUGACGCUCAUGCACGAAGGCGUGGGGAUCAAACA
rnacentral:rRNA from 1 species